rnacentral:lncRNA from 1 species
AUCUAAUACAUCUGGUAUAUCAACUAGCAGAAUUUUUAUCGAUUGGUUUAUUUUAGCAGAGAUCAUAAAAUAUUGUCGAGCCACCAUCUGAUCGCUAUGCAUCUCACCAACUCCUUUCUUAGUCAAAAAAUGACCAAUACAUGGUAAGUAGAGAUAAUGACCUUGAGGGCAUUGAGAUCAAGUUGGUCGAGGAUAGCAUUAUAAGCAGAUGAAACUCUGACGAUCAAAAAAGUGAGCUAUACUAUUGAUUGUCUUGGUUCUUGUCCUACUAUAACUGAUAGAGUGAUUUCUCCCUCAGCUACCAUCAGAUUUUCUAAAAACCUGAUGAGGGAAGUACCGAUCCGCCUGAGUUAUCCGACCAGAUUUAUUUUUAAGAAAGCAUCAUAGAACAAUACAUCAACAGAACUUUUAUUAUCAAUAAGAAUUUUUUUUAUAUCAUAUUU